rnacentral:rRNA from 1 species
GACGAACGCUGGCGGCGUGCUUAACACAUGCAAGUCGAACGGUAAGGCCCUGCUUUUGUGCGGUGCUCGAGUUGCGAACGGGUGUGUAACACGACAGUAACCUGCCCCUUACUCUGGGUUAACUUCAGGAAACUGUGGCUACUACCGGCUAGGAUCACCUCCUUAUUACUUGGGGUUGGAACGUUUCGGCGGUGGGGGAUGUACUGGCGGCUUAUCAGCUUGUUGGUGGGGUAAGGGCUUACCAAGGCUUUGAGCGGUAGCGGGCCUGAGAGGGUGACCGGACCGAUUGGGACUGAGAUAAGACCCAGACUCGACUGGUAGGCAGGGGAGGGGAAUAGAGUAUAGUGGGAGGAAGCGUGAUGCAGCGAAGCGGCGUGGGGGAUGACGGGAAUGAGGUUGUAAAGCGCUUCCGUCUGUGACGAAGCGAGAGUGACGGUAAUGGGUGAAGAAGCACCGGCUAACUACGUG